ensembl:lncRNA
UUUUGUUUUCUCUGCGGUCAGCCCAGCUCUGGGUUGGUUGGUGUUUUUGGAUGGUGCGUAGAGGAGCAGUAUGUCCUCCGUAGCUGUAUCCCACCCCCAUGGCAAGCAGUGCUGGGUGGGAGAGCAGAGAGAGCUGAUAACAAAGUGGGAGAUGAGGUACAUUUGUUUUGCUGGCGUAAAAACUCCAAUUUUCUUGCACACUCAGAAGCUACCAGUGAAUGCCACUCCAUCAGCUUAAUUGGCUAAGCCUUGCUAAAUAAAGGUGCUGGCGCUGGGCUUCUGCAUUGUGAAGGUGCAUCUAUCUUGGCAACAGGACAUGUAGUUUUAUUUUUCUCCAGUGCACAAUAUAAACACACCUCUUUCUUGACCUUCUCCAUUAAUUUCGGUGGCUAAAGCCAAGUCUUUGGAGCAACUGGGCAUCUGCAAGCUGGCACAAAAUCCCCAAUCCAUUAACAUUACAGCAGGCUUGUGUUAAGAACUUCUUGCCUGAGAGAUGCAGGCACUGGAGGGACGGGGCUGUGUGCCUCAGGGCUGACCUGGUUAGCUGUUAGGGAGAAAGCCUCACCGCCCUCUCAGUGAAAAAUUUCCCACUAUCAUCUAAGUUAAAUCUCUCCUCUUUUAGCUUAAAAUCAUUCCCCCUAGUCCCAUUGCUGUCAGAACACGUAGAAAGUCCAUCUGUCUCCUGUAUAUAAGCUCUGUUUAGUAUUGGAAGGCCACAAUGUGUUCUACCCCGAGCCUUCUCCAGGCUGAACAAGCCCGGUGCUUUGCUUUGCCCCUGCUACUGAUCGUGGUGGCUGUGGGUUUCUGGUCAGUCCAUGGCUCUGACCUGCCUAGCCAGUAGAUAGCCAAGGUGAGCCUUGCUCAGGUGCUGUCUGGCUGCCUCUAUCUACCUCCAGCGUAGCCACAGUUGAAGGACGAGAGAAUGGUGGCUUCGUCACAAGAAAAGGUUUGCCUCGCUGCUACUUUGGGCUUCACUGUUUCAACCCAUUGCACAAAUAGAGGUGUUUUCCUUACACAGUUGCAGCUGCUUUGUAGUAGUUUGUGGUUGGGGCAUGUGAUGCAUUUUUAGCAUUCCUAGGAGAUGUUUUUUUUUUUUUCUUUUCCCCAUUUUUUUUUUUUUUAGUGUAUUAUGGUGAUGCCUAGAAAUUCAUAUGGGAAUUCUGGUGGCUUGCCAUACAAGCAGAAAGGCAGGGGCCUUGUGCUGAAUAGUGUGGUGUAAGGGAUUUCAUGUCCUUGUGUGUGCGUUCCAGGGCACAGGAGACUGCAUCCUCCUGUACAGCGGUACCCAAGUGCUGAUUCCCCUCUUACUUAAUUUCUGAUGGGCUGCACCACUUUUUGUGAUGACUGCGUGCAGUUCUCUCCGGAGAAUGUGAACUUGAAAUCCGGCAGCUCACUGUUACACGUCAUCCAUCCAUACAGGUGUAGGUUGUGUGCGGGGCCCAUGCUGGGAAAAGGCCUGGGGAGAGAAAAGCAGACUGCGUCGCUGACCGUGUCCACGUUGUGGGUGCAGCUUUUCUGUGCCUUGGGAC